UACGAAGGGUGCAAGCGUUACUCGGAAUUACUGGGCGUAAAGGGUGCGUAGGUGGUUGUUUAAGUCUGCUGUGAAAGCCCCGGGCUCAACCUGGGAAUGGCAGUGGAUACUGGACAGCUAGAGUGCGGUGAGGGUAGUGGAAUUCCCGGUGUAGCAGGGAAAUGCGUAGAGAUCGGGAGGAACACCAGUGGCGAAGGCGGCUACCUGGACCAGCACUGACACUGAAGCCCGAAAGCGUGGGGAGCAAACAGG
rnacentral:rRNA from 1 species